rnacentral:rRNA from 1 species
AGUGAACGCUGGCGGUAGGCCUAACACAUGCAAGUCGAACGGCAGCACAGUAAGAGCUUGCUCUUACGGGUGGCGAGUGGCGGACGGGUGAGGAAUACAUCGGAAUCUACUUUUUCGUGGGGGAUAACGUAGGGAAACUUACGCUAAUACCGCAUACGACCUACGGGUGAAAGCAGGGGAUCUUUGGACCUUGCGCGAUUGAAUGCGCCGAUGUCGGAUUAGCUAGUUGGCGGGGUAAAGGCCCACCAAGGCGACGAUCCGUAGCUGGUCUGAGAGGAUGAUCAGCCACACUGGAACGGGGACACCGUCCAGACUCCUACGGGAGGCAGCAGUGGGGAAUAUUAGGCAAUGGUCGCAAGCCUGAUCCAGCCAUACCGCGUGGGUGAAGAAGGCCUUCGGGUUGUAAAGCCCUUUUGUUGGUAAAGAAAAGCAGCAGGUUAAUACCCCGCUGUUCUGACGGUACCCAAAGAAUAAGCACCGGCUAACUUCGUG